AGGAGGGCACAUCAACCCGGCUGUGACUUUCGGGCUGUUCUUGGCCAGGAAGCUGUCCCUGACUAGGGCCAUCUUCUACAUAAUCAUGCAAUGCCUGGGUGCCAUCUGUGGAGCUGGAGUGGUGAAGGGCUUCCAGCAGGGACUUUACAUGGGCAAUGGCGGUGGUGCCAACGUCGUCGCCCCCGGCUACACCAAGGGAUCAGGGCUUGGUGCUGAGAUUGUUGGCACCUUCGUCCUGGUCUACACCGUGUUCUCAGCCACUGACGCCAAGAGGAACGCCAGGGACUCCCAUGUUCCU
rnacentral:lncRNA from 1 species